ACGGGAAGCAGCAGUAGGGAAUCUUCCACAAUGGGCGAAAGCCUGAUGGAGCGAUGCCAUGUGAACGAAGAAGGUCUUUUUGAUUGUAAAGUUCUUUUAGAGGGGAAAAUAAUGAUGGUACCCUCUGAAUAAGUGACAGCAAACUAUGUGCCAGCAGCUGCGGUAAUACAUAGGUCGCGAGCGUUAUUCGGAUUUAUUGGGCGUAAAGCAAGCGCAGGCGGACAGAUAAGUUUUGUGUUAAAAGCAGUUGCUCAACAAUUGUUUGCGCUGAAUACUGUCUGUCUAGAAUACGGUAGGAAGUUUUGGAAUUGAAUAUGGAGCGGUGGAAUGUGUAGAUAUAUUCAAGAACACCAGAGGCGAAGGCGAAAACUUAGGCCGCUAUUGACGCUUAGGCUUGAAAGUGUGGGGAGCAAAUGGGAUUAGAUACCCCAGUAGUCCACACUGUAAACGAUGGAUAUUAGAUGUUGGGGCUUGUGCCUCAGCGUUGUAGCUUACGUAUUAAAUAUCCCGCCUGGGUAGUACAUAUGCAAAUAUGAAACUCAAAGGAAUUGACGGGGACCUGAACAAGUGGUGGAACAUGUUGCUUAAUUCGAUAAUACACGAAAAACCUUACCAAGGUUUGACAUCCCCCGCGAAGCUAUAGAAAUAUAGUGGAGGUUAUCGGGGUGACAGGUGGUGCAUGGCUGUCGUCAGCUCGUGUCAUGAGAUGUUUGGUUAAGUCCCGCAACGAGCGCAACCCUACUCUUUAGUUAGUUGUCUAAAGAGACUGAACAGUAAUGUAUAGGAAGGUUGGGAUCACGUCAAGUCAUCAUGCCCCUUAUGCCUUGGGCCGCAAACGUGUUACAAUGGCGAGUACAACGUGCCGCAAACCAGCGAUGGUAAGCUAAUCACUAAAAGCUCGUCUCAGUCCGGAUAAAAGGCUGCAAUUCGCCUUUUUGAAGUUGGAAUCACUAGUAAUCCCGUGUCAGCUAUAUCGGGGUGAAUACGUUCCCAGGUCUUGUACACACCGC
rnacentral:rRNA from 1 species